AUUGAACGCUGGCGGAAUGCUUUACACAUGCAAGUCGAACGGCAGCACGGGGCGAACCUGGUGGCGAGUGGCGAACGGGUGAGUAAUACAUCGGAACGUGCCCAAUCGUGGGGGAUAACGUAGCGAAAGUUACGCUAAUACCGCAUACGAUCUACGGAUGAAAGCGGGGGAUCGCAAGACCUCGCGCGAAUGGAGCGGCCGAUGUCAGAUUAGGUAGUUGGUGGGGUAAAGGCUCACCAAGCCGACGAUCUGUAGCUGGUCUGAGAGGACGACCAGCCACACUGGGACUGAGACACGGCCCAGACUCCUAC
rnacentral:rRNA from 1 species